GACGAACGCUGGCGGCGUGCUUAACACAUGCAAGUCGAACGGAAAGGCCCUGCUUUUGUGGGGUGCUCGUGUGGCGAACGGGUGAGUAACACGUGAGUAACCUGUCCUUGACUUUGGGAUAACUUCAGGAAACUCGGGCUAAUACCGGAUAGGAGCUCCUGCUGCAUGGUGGGGGGUGGAAAGUUUCGGCGGUUGGGGAUGGACUCGCGGCUUAUCAGCUUGUUGGUGGGGUAGUGGCUUACCAAGGCUUUGACGGGUAGCCGGCCUGAGAGGGGGACCGGCCACAUUGGGACUAAGAUACGGCCCAGACUCCUACGGUAGGCAGCAGUGGGGAAUAUUGCACAAUGGGCGGAAGCCUGAUGCAGCGACGCCGCGUGCGGGAUGACGGCCUUCGGGUUGUAAACCGCUUUCGCCUGUGACGAAGCGUGAGUGACGGUAAUGGGUAAAGAAGCACCGGCUAACUACGUG
rnacentral:rRNA from 1 species